UCCCUGUCCCAUCCUCUGUGACUGCAAAUGC
rnacentral:piRNA from 1 species